rnacentral:rRNA from 1 species
UGCCAGCAGCCGCGGUAAUACGGAGGGGGUUAGCGUUGUUCGGAAUUACUGGGCGUAAAGCGUGCGUAGGCGGAUCAAUAAGUAAGGGGUGAAAUCCCGAGGCUCAACCUCGGAACUGCCCUUUAAACUGUUGGUCUUGAGUUCUGGAGAGGUGAGUGGAAUUGCUAGUGUAGAGGUGAAAUUCGUAGAUAUUAGCAGGAACACCAGAGGCGAAGGCGGCUCACUGGACAGCUACUGACGCUGAGGCACCAAAGUGCCGGCAUCUAACCGGAUCAGAUA